AGCGAACGCUGGCGGCAGGCUUAACACAUGCAAGUCGAGCGGGCGUAGCAAUACGUCAGCGGCAGACGGGUGAGUAACGCGUGGGAACAUACCUUUUGGUUCGGAACAACACAGGGAAACUUGUGCUAAUACCGGAUAAGCCCUUACGGGGAAAGAUUUAUCGCCAAAAGAUCGGCCCGCGUCUGAUUAGCUAGUUGGUGGGGUAAUGGCCCACCAAGGCGACGAUCAGUAGCUGGUCUGAGAGGAUGAUCAGCCACACUGGGACUGAGACACGGCCCAGACUCCUACGGGAGGCAGCAGUGGGGAAUAUUGGACAAUGGGGGAAACCCUGAUCCAGCCAUGCCGCGUGAGUGAUGAAGGCCUUAGGGUUGUAAAGCUCUUUCGUCGGGGAAGAUAAUGACGGUACCCGAAGAAGAAGCCCCGGCUAACUUCGUGC
rnacentral:rRNA from 1 species